GGCCAUUUUGGAAAAAACAUCAUUAUCUUCAACGUGCUCCAAGCAGCGUCUAUGCUGGCUCUCGAAGUGUACAACCUCUAACAUUUGAUGCCUUGCUCCCCACAAAAAACGGACUCUUCUGACUCUCCAGCUGAGUGUUAACAGGGCACGUCGAGAAGAUUCAGUGCAUCAUUGGAAAAUAACUGCUACGAGAUAGCUGUUGGAACAAAACAGUGAUAAAGGAUCAACAAAUUCUGGCCAACAGGCCAGAUAUUCUUCUGUUUGAUAAACUUGUUCAAACAGUGGAGCUGAUUCAUGUUGCUGUUCCGCUAACUAGAGAUAUUCUCAGAACAUAUGCAGGGAAGAUAAAUAAAUAUGGGAAUCUGGUAAAAGAGCUGAAACAAAUGUGGAGAUUGAGGUACAUCAAAGUAAAGCCAAUUUCCAUCUUGGCAACUUGGGUGGCUCCUCAUACGCUAAACAUCUUAAAGAACUGAGGAUUCAUUAUAUGCUGGCAUCAAGUCAAGGAGAGGCAUUUCUGGAUACUAGAACUUCUCUAUCUCAACCAUAAAUAAUUAUGAUAUACUAAACUAAUACCUCUAUAGCUAUAAUUUAAUAAACUAAGAUUAAUUUGGAGAGAAAUAUAAUAAUCUUUUUUCUAUAUUUGUCUG